UACAGAGACUGCAAGCGUUUAUUCGGAUUCACUGGGCGUAAAGGGUGCGCAGGCGGCCAAGUGUGUGAGGCGUGAAAGCCUGGGGCUUAACUCCAGAAUUGCACCUCAAACUACUUGGCUAGAGCAUUGGAGAGGGUAGCAGAAUUCACGGUGUAGCAGUGAAAUGCGUAGAUAUCGUGAGGAAUACCAGAGGCGAAGGCGGCUACCUGGACAAUUGCUGACGCUCAGGCACGAAAGCGUGGGGAGCAAAAGGG
rnacentral:rRNA from 1 species